AUGAACUUCCAAGUGCUUCUGCUGGUCUUUGCUGUGGUGAUUGCCACUAACAUCAACUGUCAAGCACAACCUCAGCUAGGAGAUUCAAAUAAAUCUCCAAUGGUCAAACGUCAUGUCAUAUCCAGGCAACAGGGCAAGACAUGUAACUGCAUUGGGAGAAGAAAUGCACUGGACCAGAACUACUGUCCCUGUGAGCUGCAACGUCAAUAUAGUGAGUCACGCAACCUGUAUUUAAACAGACAAUUUUGUUUGUUUAUGUUAAACAUAUCCGGUAAUGCGACACUGAGUCAAAAGAAAGCUUUUAAAAUAAUUGUACAAAAGUUACUAGCUUUUCUGGAAGUUAUAAUACAUACAUCUCUUUUGUUUUAUUUUCAGGAAUGCUCAGUAAAGAGCAGAAAGAUGUGUGCCUAA
rnacentral:lncRNA from 12 species